GGGAACGUACCCUCUUCUGCGGGAUAGCCACUGGAAACGGUGAGUAAUACCGCAUACGCCCUUCGGGGGAAAGAUUUAUCGGAGGAGGAUCGGCCCGCGUUGGAUUAGGUAGUUGGUGGGGUAAUGGCCUACCAAGCCUACGAUCCAUAGCUGGUUUUAGAGGAUGAUCAGCCACACUGGGACUGAGACACGGCCCAGACUCCUACGGGAGGCAGCAGUGGGGAAUCUUAGACAAUGGGCGCAAGCCUGAUCUAGCCAUGCCGCGUGAGUGACGAAGGCCUUAGGGUCGUAAAGCUCUUUCGCCUGUGAUGAUAAUGACAGUAGCAGGUAAAGAAACCCCGGCUAACUCCGUGCCAGCAGCCGCGGUAAUACGGAGGGGGUUAGCGUUGUUCGGAAUUACUGGGCGUAAAGCGCACGUAGGCGGAUUGGAAAGUAUGGGGUGAAAUCCCAGGGCUCAACCCUGGAACGGCCUCAUAAACUUCCAGUCUGGAGUUCGAGAGAGGUGAGUGGAAUUCCGAGUGUAGAGGUGAAAUUCGUAGAUAUUCGGAGGAACACCAGUGGCGAAGGCGGCUCACUGGCUCGAUACUGACGCUGAGGUGCGAAAGUGUGGGGGAGCAAACAGGAUUAGAUACCCUGGUAGUCCACACCGUAAACGAUGAAUGCCAGUCGUC
rnacentral:rRNA from 2 species